rnacentral:rRNA from 1 species
AUGUUGCGCCGCGCCUCCCAGCUCCUCCGCACCGUCCCCACCGCCGCCGUGUUCCCCCGCCGCCUCCCGCAACCGCACCGGCACCCGCUUCCAGCCCCACCCGCCUAUCUCCUCCCCGCCCCCAGGCAACCAUCGUACUUCUACGCCACCGAGUCAGCGGCGGCGCGGCCACCAAAGGUGCCGCGGCCACUGAGGACGGUGGGGAGCCUGCUGAGGCUGAACGACAUCCGCGACAACCCCGGCGCGACGCAGCAGAAGACGCGCAAGGGCCGCGGGAUCGGCUCCGGGAAGGGCAAGACGGCGGGGCGCGGGCACAAGGGCCAGAAGGCGCGCGGCACCGCUCGCUUCGGCUUCGAGGGCGGCCAGACCCCGCUGCGCCGCCGUCUCCCCCGCCGCGGCUUCAAGAACCGCUUCUCGCUCACGUUCCAGCCCUGUGGACUGGGAAAAAUUGCGAAGCUCAUCAAUGCUGGAAAAAUUGAUUCCUCUGAAUUGAUCACAAUGAAGACACUGAAGGAUACAAGUGCCAUUGGAAAACAAAUAAAGGAUGGGAUUCGGUUAAUGGGCCGUGGUGCAGAAGAAAUCAAAUGGCCAAUUCACCUCGAGGUAUCAAGGGCGACCGCAAGGGCGAAAGCUGCAGUUGAAGCAGCAGGUGGAACUGUAAGAUUGGUGUACUACAACAAGCUUGGGUUCAGGGCACUACUCAAACCUGAAUGGUUUGCAAAGAAGGGCCGCCUUAUACCAAAAGCGGCGAGGCCUCCACCCAAGCAACGAGACAAGGUUGAUAGCAUUGGCCGACUACCUGCUCCCACAAAGCCACUUCCCUUCACACCGGAGGAAUUAGAGUUUACUGCCAAGCGUGAAGCUGCUAAAGUGAUCGCUGCAUAG